ACACGACCUGCUACGGGUGGUCUCCCAUUCGGUACUUUGCUUAUUCCACGAACAGUGUGGUGAUUCACUGUUCGUGGAUAACCAUGCUUAACAUUAGCGGUAUUCGUGUGCUGUAACACACGAAUGCCGCGUACAUUACAAGAAAUAGGGAAUAGCAGAAGCAAUAUACAGUUCGGUUUAAAGAUGUAGUUUGGGUCUAUAAGUGGCUAGAUCUGCCACAGCACCCAAUGACUGUGUUUUAUUGGGUCAGAAUUAAUUAACAGGAAGAAUCAGUUCUAAAACGGCUAAAGGGAUAGGUAUUCUCUUGCAAAAGACAAAAUAUUACAA